rnacentral:rRNA from 1 species
AGAGUUAAAUAGUACGUGAAAUUGUUGAAAGGGAAACGAUUAAAGUCAGUCAUGCCGGCGAAAAAUCAGCUUAUAGGCUACUAUGAGUGCACUUUUUCGCAAGGCAGGUUAGCAUCGAUUUUCGUUGCGUUAUAAUGAUUGUGGGAAGGUAGCUCCUUCGGGAGUGUUAUAGCCCGUGAUAGAUGACGUGACAAAGAUCGAGGAUUGCAGCGAAUGCUUUUUGGCUACGUGUCUGGUCUCUGAAUAAUUGUCAAUUUGUCGACAGCUUGCUGACGUAGAGUUGAUGAUUUUCAAAAGAUUCAGAACGCGUUAAAUUCGCUAAGGAUGUUGACGUAAUGGCUUUAAACGACC